UGGCAUUCCAUGCUGGUGUCAAACUUACCAU
rnacentral:piRNA from 1 species